ACCGGAGCUAAUACCGCAUAAUCUCGAGAGAGGAAAGCAGCAAUGCGCUGAGAGAGGAGCCCGCGGCCGAUUAGCUAGUUGGUAGGGUAAGAGCCUACCAAGGCAUAGAUCGGUAGCCGGCCUGAGAGGGCACACGGCCACACUGGCACUGAAACACGGGCCAGACUCCUACGGGAGGCAGCAGUGGGGAAUCUUGCACAAUGGGGGCAACCCUGAUGCAGCGACGCCGCGUGAGCGAUGAAGCCCUUCGGGGUGUAAAGCUCUUUCGGCAGGGAAGAUGAUGACGGUACCUGCAGAAGCAGCUGCGGCUAACUACGUGCCAGCAGCCGCGGUAAUACGUAGGCAGCGAGCGUUGUUCGGAGUUACUGGGCGUAAAGGGUGUGUAGGCGGUCUUUUAAGUUUGGUGUGAAAUCUCCCGGCUCAACUGGGAGGGUGCGCCGAAUACUGAGG
rnacentral:rRNA from 1 species